rnacentral:rRNA from 1 species
UACGUAGGGUGCAAGCGUUGUCCGGAAUUAUUGGGCGUAAAGAGCUCGUAGGCGGUCUGUCGCGUCGGCUGUGAAAACUCGGGGCUCAACCCCGAGCCUGCAGUCGAUACGGGCAGACUAGAGUGCUGUAGGGGAGACUGGAAUUCCUGGUGUAGCGGAGAAAUGCGCAGAUAUCAGGAGGAACACCGGUGGCGAAGGCGGGUCUCUGGGCCGAUACUGACGCUGAGGAGCGAAAGCGUGGGGAGCGAACAGG